UGAGCAAUCUGCCCUCAGCUCUGGGAUAACUCCAAGAAAUUGGGGCUAAUACCGGAUAUGACCGCUGACCGCAUGGUCUGGUGGUGGAAAGAUUUAUCGGCUGGGGAUGGGCCCGCGGCCUAUCAGCUUUGUUGGUGAGGUAACGGCUCACCAAGGCUUCGGACGGGUAGCCGGCCUGGAGAGGGCGACCGGCCACACUGGGACUGAGAUACCGGCCCAGACUCCUACGGGA
rnacentral:rRNA from 1 species